CGAUGUCCUUAACCCCCCUGGUUUUUGCACAGAAAUAUUAAAGAUAUUUCAAGUUUUCUGUUGUUUUUGAGCUAAAAAAUCUUAAUAUUUCCAUCGCACAUUACUUGUUUUACAACGCGGAGGAAGGAUGCGGGUGUGCUUCGCUUGUGGAUGCAGCACUUCACUGCAAAGAAAGACUAAUUCUUUCAGGUAAGAUUCACGAAACUUUUUUUAACUUUCUAGGGACUUGUUCACUUGCAUUGUCAUAUCACUCGAGAUAUAAUACACUCAUAUGUCAAAAACUCAUCAUCCUAAUAUAUACAGCCAAUAUUUCAAUAGCAGACAUACAAAUAUUGUUAAUGAGUAGAUACUGUGUGCAUGAAAUUAUAUUGUUUUGUGUCAGCACUGGUCUUUGUGGUUUUAUUGCCAGACUGCCAGUGUUUAAUACUUGUAAUUUAUAUUGUGGUUGUUUUUACAUGUUUAUAUUGUGCGAAAUUUUUAUACUUGCCCAUCAUAUAGUGCAGGAUUAAUAUAUAUAUAUAGACAAGCACAAAAUCACGAGACCAGAAAUAUUUGAGUAGAGGAGGCCCACCUACGUGUGUCAAUAUAUGCCUGUCCUGAUGAGCCCUGGAGACUGUCUUUUUUUGUUUUACACUGUCUUUUAAGGGGAGACUGCUCACUGCUGCCACUCAGUGGGUUAAAUAUACUAUCUGCCAAUGAGCAUGCAGCCCCUGAGAUAUAGUCAGCCCAUUAAGUAGCAAUGUGCCCAAAUGAACCCUACAUUCUUAUUUUACUCAAAGGGAAGAGUCUUGGGGUAGAAAAUAGAUACUCACUUUGCCAUUGUCUGUUCAGAACCACAUACACAGUAUGAUGUGAUAGUUACAUGGCAAGAAAAAAAAUGUUGCCCACAAGCUGUUGGGAUAAGUGAGUCACUAUCGAUGUACUAACCAGGUAAUUAAUUCAGAAAUUUAUGCUACGUACAACAUUUCUAACAUUGGAAGAGGUGAUGUCUGAUUGGUCUGUGAGAAACUAUGAUGAAAUUUGCUAAUAAUAGAAUUGCAUUCCUGAAUAUGGAAACAUGACACUUAAUUUUGAAGCUUGGGAUCAUUAUGGUUUUGGUAAAAACAGAUCAUAUAUAGCACCAUAGUGCAACACUCUCCCCUUAACUAGUAAAAUUGUCUGACAUUAGAUAGAUUAAAAUAAUACAGUAAGGCAUAUCAAGACUGCACAUUGCACUUGAAGGGUUAAUAUAUGUGUAUUUAUUAUAUAGUAGAGAGUGAAAUACUGAAAAAUACACAGUGAGAUAUUUUACAUAUCUUCACUAGUGCAUGAAGAUAUCGAUCACAUGACUUUUUCUAAUUAAUAAUAAUAUACAUGCAUAUGAUAUUUUCAUGGUGUAUAAAGAUGUAUAUAAAUGUAUCAUGAUAAUAAUGUCAUCUUUUAUUUUGCAGAAAUUAUCUGUUUAAUGCAACACAAGAGAUGGCACAGGCAUCAACAUGCAGAACAUCAAAAUGAAGUUAUAAUUAUAAUACCAUAACAACAUAAUAAAUAAUUAUAUGAUUAUAAUAACUUUAUUGAAGUGUAAAUUUUUACAACAGAGCACAAUCAUGCUCCACUAAAUUAGGAAGAAUUAAA
rnacentral:lncRNA from 1 species